UUUUUUUUUUUUUUUUGGCCAUGUACAGCAUCAACUUUAUUCUAAGACUAAUUCUUCCUUUCUCAUCAUCCUCCCUCAGAUGGCAAAAACUGAAAUUGAGUUAUGAGAGCGUUAGAACCAUAGGAGGGCAAGAUAAAUGAUACUGACAUGGCAAUGAUGGAGCCAAAAAUAGUGAUGUUGAGAAAAAUAAGUGAUGUCAGGGUGGAUUUAAAUCUCCAAAGUCACAGUAUACAGCCUAGAUCCAUCUUGAAGAACAACAGAGCUAUAGCGAAAGGAAAAUUCAAGCCCUCCUGGAUCCCACCAGAGUAGUGAAAAAAAAAAAAAAAAAGUAGUGAAAAGAGUUGGUUUAAAGGCAAAAACAGAAACCAGAUGUGACAUUUAGGAGAGAAUAAGGUGAGAUGUUGUGGGUGAAGCAAGAUCUGCAUCAGUAAAGAGAUUGGGUUGAUUUUAGGAGUCUACUAAGGGAGGAAGAGAAUUCAGCAAUAGCCCUAGCCUGAGGGAAAACUGAGGGCUAAAGAAUUAGUCUCCUAUUCUACUCCCAACAGGUAAUCUUGAAGCCAAGGCCUGCUUUCUCAAUCUUGAGGUCCUCUUACAGCAUCUGGACUAGAACAUUCCACCAAUGAUAGCUAUUCUGAGAUAUGAUUUAAUAUUUAUGGGGCAACACUCAAGGGUAGGACCUGGGUCUUACAAAUGUUUGUUUUCUAGAACUCAACUUUAUGGGCUUCACCAGAGUGGAUAUUUUUAUUGUUUUUAUUAUUAAUAAAAAGGAUAUGAUGAGUCAUUUUGCUCUCACAAGAUGAGCUUUUUAAUGUAAGUAGUUAAGGAAGACGGUAAAAUAGUACAUAAAAAGAAAAACACUUUUGUGAAGUUUGGUCAUUUGGAGCCCAUAAAUUACACCAUAUUGUCAGUCUCAUUACCUGUGCCACAUCAAAUCUUUACCUAUGUUGGGCUGAAUGUUGGGCCCGGGAUCACAUUUAUCACUAAUAAAAAGGGUGGUUAGCCUCAGAGGGGAGUGGAUUAGCAAGGUGGAGGCCGGAGAGUGCAGCCAGAUCUGGGGACUCAGGAGGCUGAUAUCUAAGGAUCUGAGUCCCAGGAAAGAUGAGAGUUGAGAUAAUUGUAUUACCAGCCGAAGAUGAAAGUGUGCUCAAAGAACUUAGAAUCAAGAAGGUCCUAGAUAUAAACAGAAGCUUGGAUUUUCUCUCUGACCUCAAGGUGACUUUUAUAGCCUUUGUUUUAUGUUCUGUACGGUUUAAAGGUCUGAUAGUUUUCACUAUAAGCAAAGGUUCUGAUGGGUAGGGAUUGAGUAGAUUCAUUCGGUGGUUUAGGCUCAAAGCCAUGAUGGUUAGAGAGCCGAACGGUAUAUCCUCAGAUUGAUGAGGGCCUUUGGGAUCUCUGGAAUAUAUAAUUGAGAAGCUUGAUCAUCUAAGGUUCUUUGAGAGCUCUGAUAGUGUCAGAGUGUUAACCUUUUCAAGCAGAAUAUCUACUGCCUAAUAAGUAAAUUUUGUGAAUUAGAAAAAGAUGUCCCAUCCACUGAGUGAUGCAAGUCCCAUAUCGGGGCACAAAACUUGUUGAGCAGAGUUCAGGCUGGAUUCUAGCCCCUAGUCAUUGUUUUGGAUAGGCAUGUUUGUCCUGUGGAAUCAUAUAGGGUUCAGUUUUUAUAGCCCAGUUUUUACAGACAAGACAUGAAGGUAACCAUGAUUAGCAGAUUUGGGCAAAUCUCAAUGAAUGAAAGAGUAUCAAGUAUAUCAACAGAAAAUGUUUAGGUUAGUUAAUUAAUAAGUAUAGACCUAAGAAUCCUUACUUUCUGACAAAUAUCAGGUGCAACGUCACUAUGCCAUGAAGAUCUUUGCUUUUUGUUUCUCAUAUUAUCAUGUAAAAUUGCUAUUUUAUUUCAUCUUGUUCAACAUCUCCCCACUUCCCCUACCAUGAACCCUUGGCAACCACCAUUCCACCCUCUGUUUCUGAGUUGGCUUUUUUAGAUCCCACAUGUAAGUGAUAUCAUACUAUAUUUGUCUUUCUUUGCCUGACAUAUUUCACUUAGCAUAAUGUCCUCAAGGUCUAUCCAUGUUGUCUCAAAUGGCAGGAUUUCAUUUUAAUGGCUAAAUAAUAUUCCAUUGUGUGUGUGUAUGUAUUCUUUAUCUUUGUAUUUUUUUUUAUUUCUUUUUUUUACUGCCUCACCUGCAGCAUAUGGAAGUUGCCAGGCUAGGGUUGAAUUGCAGCUGCAGCUGCAGGCCUAUGGCACAGCAACACCAGAUCCAAGCCAUAUUGGAAACCUGUGCCACAGCUUGCAGCAAUGCUGGAUCCUUAAUCCACUGAGCAAGGCCAGGAAUCGAACCUGCAUCCUCAUGGACACUAUGUUCGGUUCUUAACGUGAUGAGCCACAGUGGGAACUCCUUUUUGUAUUUUCUUAACCAUCUAUUGAUGGAUGCUUAGGUUGUUUCCAUGUCUUGGCUAUUGUGAAUAAUGCUACAAUGAACACGGGGGUGCAGAUAUCUCUUUAAGAUACUGAUUUCAUUUCCUUGGGGUGUAUACCCAGAAGUAGGAUUUCUGGAUCAUGUGACAGUUCUAGUUUUAAUUUUUUAUCUAAUUAAAAAAAUUAUCAUCUAGGAGUUCCUGCUGUGGCACAGUGGGUUAAGGAUUCAGCUGAGGCCGGCCUGGCCCAAUGGGUUAAGGAUCAAGCAUUGCCACGGCUGUGGUGUAGGUUGUAGCUGUGGCUCAGAUUUGAUCCCUGGGCCUGAGAACUUCCAUAUGCUUCAGAUACAGCCAAAAAAAUUAUCAUCUAGAUUCAGAAUCUGAUGUGUUAGUUGUGUAGUCCCCAAGUCACACAAUCUAGUCCACUAAUUAAAUAUUCAUUGAUUGUCUUCUGUGUUCUAGCCAGUGUAGUAAGACCUGGAAGAAUGAAGUUCAUCAGAAAAACAAAAACAAGCAAAGAGACAGCUGCAGGAUGGUAUUCAUUGCCCUUAUAAUUGUGUCUGCAGUAGUACAGGUGUAGGGUAUCAAGCCUGGUCUUAGGGAAUUGGGAAGGCCUCUUUGAGGAAGAGAAGGAGUAGUACUUAGCCAGGUGAAGAUGUUCAAGCCUCAGAAACAAGAGGGAGCACUAUACAUAUAGGAAGCUACAGUUAAUUGGGGAGGGCUAGGGCACAGACUGUGGGGGAUGUAGUGGUAAGAAAUGAGGAUUUAUGGCAAAGCAAGAAUAUAAGUUAGGAUGAUGAUGUCAGGUAAUAGCAGUAGGUAUGGAAAAAAGUGACAAAUUCAAAAGACAUGAGGGACGUAGAACAAAAGCAUUUGUAUUUUAUUUGGGUGUAAGGGGAUGAGAAAGGAAUGCACUAUAUAUGGUGCCUAGGUUCCUGACUUGGGCAUUUGAAUGGAAUGUUGUCGAUGUGGCAAGAGUAUUGAAAUAUGGGAAUGACAGGAGUUUGGGGGGCCCUUCAUUUUCUGUGUGGUAGCCUGCUUUGUUACCCUUCCUGGUGUUCCAGUCAGGUCUCCUAGAUAUCUAGCAACCCACCUGAACCCAGGCUAUUGCAAGGUCCUGAUAACAUCAUUUGUCUCCUUGAGAGCUAGAACUGUGUCCUUAAAGAUAAUGCCAUAGUCACCACCUCUGUUGGCUGGAGACCUCUCAGACCUCUCAGAUGUGGACAAAAUUCCUUGGAUGACAGUUAUACCAGGGCAACAGUAUAAAUUCCUGCCAGGAUUCCCCUCUGCCAUGCUGAGUCUUACAAAUUUACCCUUGUGCUGACAGUCUUAUAUCCUGUCUGAGGUUGCUUUGAACUUUAGCAUAACCGUGACCUGUGCUUUCACUCAAUCACCUAUUACCAGGCCAGCAGUUCCAAUAAUGAUUUUUUCUCUUCUGUGGUAACCCUUCAGCCUUGUCCCAAACUGGUCUGUGAUAGCACUGUGUAUAAAGGGGGUAUGAAAGCUUAAGCAGUACCUAGAGUUCUACUUUGCUAGUAUGUCUGCCUUUGACAGAUGAACUAAAAUUGAAUGUGACUGGAGCUACAGGAAGUACAUACUUCUCCAUUUUUCUCUCCCAGAGAGCACAUAGCUGAUGGGUGGAUUCUCUGUUUAAUAUCAGUCACUUUCACUUUCCUAGCUGUGAUUUCAAGCUAGUUCUGGUCCUGCAAACUUAAAACAAAGAGCAGCCAACCAAAGAGAAAGCUAAUGAGAAUUAGAAGGCUCUCAAGUCAUUAGGCUGCCUCUUAAAAAUCUUACCUGUGGUGAGUACACAACAUUCAACACCUUCACUCCCUGUGCAGCCUCUCACUAGGCAUUUAUAACCAAUUACGUUAUGUAUGGAUUUGUCAGAGUGCUUGACUUAAUGCGGCUCAUUAAAACCUCAUGGAGAUAAGUGACUCACAGAUCCCUGCUGGCCAGAACACCUCUUCUGGUAAGGUUUUCACUGCUGACAGGCAGUGGAAAGUUGACUAACCAGCAAAUUUGACAAGGUUUGCUGUAACUCAGAAGCUUAAAACCUGCACAGGAACUUUAUGAAAACCUCAUGGGCUGCCAUGCUGGAGAAUCAGACCUUUUCCCAGGAAAAAGGGCAUGCAGGGGUGUUGUUAGAGGUGGAAGGAGCAAAGAAAAACCUUUAAUCCUUUGAUUCCUGUAUGGAAUUGUGAUAUGGUUCCAGGGAACUCUCCCAGCCACCCAUUUCCAUCUCCCUCCUUGAGUAAAAAGUUAGAGAUCGUAGGGAGGCAAAGGCAUGGCCCCCAGUUAAGAGAGAAUGAAUGGUCGUUGGGGAGAGGGCUGUUAGUGUCUGUUCUCCUUUCUUAGAGAGAAAGGAUCUGAGCAUUGGAGCUAUCCCUGAAUACACCUGCACUUCGGGCUCAAGAGCUGGGUCAUGGCAGGCCCUGCUGUUAGACACAGCUAACUUAUAACCUCAUAUGUGCUAGAAUAGCCUCAAUGGCAUCCCACAGGGCACACACCAUGGCAAGUAGCUAGCAUGGCAUCCCACAGGACACACACCAUGAGGUGAGAGUUAUAACUUGUGAUGCAAGUGGUUCUAAGCAACUUCUUCCAGUGUGUGGGAAACAUUCAUUAUCUACUGUGUGCUUAGUGAAGCACUCAUCACAGAGUCUGGGGAGCAAUCACAUGGACCAUGGAUUCGUUUUAGGAAGUAUAGGCACUGACACAGUCUGGUCCUGUCUGGUUGUUGGAGAAAAUAAGUAUUAAGCAUAUUAAUAUACUUAUUUCUUAUGUAAUAGUUAUUUAUUGAGCACUUAUUCUCAGGCACAUUACAACUUCUCACUCUGUAUUCACAGUGAUCUUAUAGAAUAAGUAUUAUUUACCCAAUUAUAGAGGAAGCACAAAAGACUGAGGUACAAAAAGUGUAAGUAAUUUUCUAUCCCAAAAUAUAUUCUCUGAAUCACUUUUUUCCCUAUCUCCCAUUUCCAUGUAGUUCUAUUAGUAGCUAAGGACUUUAGUUCUUAAUAUUAAUGAGCUUAAUUGGAUGAGGAAAAUGUAAUUUUUUUCAAUUGACCUGUUAGUCUCAGGCUUUUUAUUGUAAACAGGCCAACAGCUCAAGGUGAGAAUAAAAUUGAGUGAAAUACAAAUGCCUUGUCUUCUCUUUGAGUAAAGGAGACUUUAAGCUAGUUUUUGGUGGGAUUGAAUAAAGAAAUAGUGCAUGUGAAAGUGUCAUGCACAGUGCCUGGCAUAUAGUGGAAGCUCAAAAAUAUUAGUUUACUUUAGCCUCCAUCCUAUAGUUAUAUGAAUUAAAUCUUUGAUUAGAAAGAGACUUGUAAGUUCCCUUGUGGUGCAGCAGGUUAAGGAUCCAGUGUUGCAGCUGUGGCACAGGCAGCAACUGUGGUGCAGUUUCAUUCCUUGGCCUGGAAACUUCCACAUGCCGACAGUGCAGCCAAAAAAAAAAAAAAAAAAAAAAAAAACAAACCCAAAAAAUGGUAGAAAGAACUCAGAAAGAAAUUAUAUAAAGUCUAAAGAAUAUUUCAGAUUUUAAAGACAAGUUUAAAUUUUUUUUUAAAUUUAUUACGCUCUCCUUUUUUUUUUUCCCCAAUUAAUUCUAAAUUUAGGUCUGUCGACAUUUUACCUGUAAGCUAUUUAUGUACUUACACCCUUCCUUAUAUUAAGACCAGAGGCAUGGCAUAGGGAUGAAUUCGGGAUGGGUGAAUCCAGCUGUACUCUUUGAGUUCACUGAACAUCUCAGAUGAUUUUUCAAAUGUUUUGGGCUCACUGAAAUCCAAAACAGGUUUCACCCAUGCUCAUACUAUCCAGUUUGGAGCAUGUGCAAUUUAAGGGAAAUUUAAUCCAUAUGUUUCUGAUUCGUUUACACUUAAAUAGUCAAAAUAUUGUUUUUAAUAGUUAUUUGAUGCCCAAGUAGCCUUUUGAACCUUUGAAUAAGCUUUUAGAAGCCUGCAUUUCUCUUGAAAACAGGAAAUCAUGUCUUUCCAAGGAGGUAAACUAAUUUAUACAUCUGAAAAUUCAGGUUCAGUUGAAAACAUCCCAAACCACAGGUUUUUAAUGGCCUGUCUGCUUGGCAAAUGAACACUCAGCUUUAGACUAAACGCUAUUUGAAUGCACCUACUUCUUGUAUGUUUGGACUGGACAUCCAUUUCAUUUGGUGUUGGGCUGUUUUGUGUGUAGAUUUAGCAUCCUGAAGCUUAGAAUUUACCUGGCUUUUAUUUUAGUUUCAAUUACUAUCAGUUUUAAUUCAUUCCAGUUCUUGUAGCUAGUUGACUAACAUGGCUAUUUUUCCAAAUAUUUCAUGCGUGAUGAACUCUUUUUGUGUUUUUUUCCUUCACCAAUUAUCUUAAUUUUUAAAAAAUAAAUGAAAUAUCUGAUUUUCAAUAAAAUUAUGCAGGACUUCUAUAGAGAUAUGAACACUCCCUUUCUCCUGCAUGCCCAGAGACUGGCUAACACCUUGUGAAAAAAGAAAAAGAAAAACAAACCAUGAGGAUUAGUAGAAAAAAAAAUGGGUUUAAUUAUUUUUACUUAUUUUAUGAAUUUGUUUUAAAGGGAUAAGAUACUUGCUUAAAGAAACUGAAAUAUAGUUCCAUGAUCCCCAUUUUGUACCCCUCUCACUUCAUUAAAUAUUUGUCGAGUGAAUUAAUUACUUUAGUUUUUAGCUUACAUGUGUAUUU
ensembl:lncRNA